GCCCCCGUCGUCUAGUCUGGUCUAGGAUAUAGGGUUUUCGUCCCUAUGACCCGGGUUCAAAUCCCGGCGGGGGCA
rfam:Candidatus Nanopusillus sp. Nst1 Nst1_C3, whole genome shotgun sequence.